rnacentral:rRNA from 1 species
CCUACGGGAGGCAGCAGUAGGGAGUCUUCCGCAAUGGACGAAAGUCUGACGGAGCAACGCCGCGUGAGUGAAGAAGGCCUUCGGGUCGUAAAGCUCUGUUGUUAGGGAAGAACAAGUACCGGAGUAACUGCCGGUACCUUGACGGUACCUAACCAGAAAGCCACGGCUAACUACGUGCCAGCAGCCGCGGUAAUACGUAGGUGGCAAGCGUUGUCCGGAAUUAUUGGGCGUAAAGCGCGCGCAGGCGGUUCCUUAAGUCUGAUGUGAAAGCCCCCGGCUCAACCGGGGAGGGUCAUUGGAAACUGGGGAACUUGAGUGCAGAAGAGAAGAGCGGAAUUCCACGUGUAGCGGUGAAAUGCGUAGAGAUGUGGAAGAACACCAGUGGCGAAGGCGGCUCUUUGGUCUGUAACUGACGCUGAGGCGCGAAAGCGUGGGGAGCAAACAGGAUUAGAUACCCUGGUAGUCCACGCCGUAAACGAUGAGUGCUAAGUGUUAGAGGGUUUCCGCCCUUUAGUGCUGCAGCUAACGCAUUAAGCACUCCGCCUGGGGAGUACGGCCGCAAGGCUGAAACUCAAAGGAAUUGACGG